rnacentral:tRNA from 1 species
GCGUCGGUGGCGUAGUGGUUAGGGCGCCUGCCUACCAUGCACAUGGCCCGGGGUUCGAUCCUCGGCCGACGCA